CCUACGGGUGGCUGCAGUCGGGAAUAUUGGACAAUGGGGGAAACCCUGAUCCAGCAAUACCGCGUGUGUGAAGAAGGCCUGCGGGUUGUAAAGCACUUUCAGUUGGGAAGAUAAUGACGUUACCAACAGAAGAAGCACCGGCUAACUCCGUGCCAGCAGCCGCGGUAAUACGGAGGGUGCAAGCGUUAAUCGGAAUUACUGGGCGUAAAGCGCACGUAGGCGGCCUUUUAAGUCAGAUGUGAAAGCCCCGGGCUCAACCUGGGAACUGCAUCUGAUACUGGGAGGCUAGAAUCUGGGAGAGGGGAGUGGAAUUUCCGGUGUAGCGGUGAAAUGCAUAGAGAUCGGAAGGAACAUCAGUGGCGAAGGCGACUCCCUGGACCAAGAUUGACGCUCAGGUGCGAAAGCGUGGGUAGCAAACAGGAUUAGAAACCCUAGUAGUC
rnacentral:rRNA from 1 species